AAUAGGCCUGGUCGAAGCUGCAUUUGAAUUUUAAUGUCAGAUGGCAGUCAAAACAUGGCCAAUAUAAAAAUUUCUCCCAUUGGUCACUGAUUUGGUGAUUGUAUCAUGUCAGUAUUACCCAGGGAUGAAAACAAAA